rnacentral:rRNA from 1 species
GUGCCAGCAGCCGCGGUAAUACGGAGGGUGCAAGCGUUAUCCGGAUUUACUGGGUUUAAAGGGUGCGCAGGCGGAUAUGUAAGUCAGUGGUGAAAUCUCCGGGCUUAACCCGGAAACUGCCGUUGAUACUAUAUAUCUUGAAUGCCGUGGAGGUAAGCGGAAUAUGUCAUGUAGCGGUGAAAUGCUUAGAUAUGACAUAGAACACCUAUUGCGAAGGCAGCUUACUACACGGAGAUUGACGCUCAUGCACGAAAGCGUGGGGAUCAAACAGGAUUAGAUACCCUGGUAGUCC